GGCACGGUGAUGCAGUGGGUAGCACUGUCACCUCACAGCAACAGCCCUGGGUUCGAAUCCGGCCUGGGCCU
rnacentral:tRNA from 1 species